rnacentral:rRNA from 1 species
GAUGAACGCUGGCGGCGUGCCUAAUACAUGCAAGUCGAGCGAACAGACGAGGAGCUUGCUCCUCUGACGUUAGCGGCGGACGGGUGAGUAACACGUUGAUAACCUACCUAUAAGACUGGGAUAACUUCGGGAAACCGGAGCUAAUACCGGAUAACAUGUUGAACCGCAUGGUUCAACAGUGAAAGACGGUCUUGCUGUCACUUAUAGAUGGAUCCGCGCCGCAUUAGCUAGUUGGUAAGGUAACGGCUUACCAAGGCAACGAUGCGUAGCCGACCUGAGAGGGUGAUCGGCCACACUGGAACUGAGACACGGUCCAGACUCCUACGGGAGGCAGCAGUAGGGAAUCUUCCGCAAUGGGCGAAAGCCUGACGGAGCAACGCCGCGUGAGUGAAGAAGGUCUUCGGAUCGUAAAACUCUGUUAUUAGGGAAGAACAAAUGUGUAAGUAACUAUGCACGUCUUGACGGUACCUAAUCAGAAAGCCACGGCUAACUACGUG